AGAGAGAGCCGGAGGUUGCCGCUUGGUCAAAAUAUGUGACUCCACGUCAAGCAAUCGCGAACCAAUCCCGGCGUGGUUUACUGGAUGACCCGUAUGAAAUCCAGUACACCACUUCCUGUUUUCAGUUCAGUAACUAGUCGUCGUGGGGGAGAUGCGUUGGUUACCUCUCUCGGUUGUAAUAUUGUGGGCCUGUUGCCUUUACAGUGCCUCUGCGGAUAACAGUGGCGUCAAGAAAAUGAAGGUGCAGUUUGCCACGGGUCCUCUUCUCAAAUUCCAGAUUUGUGUUUCCUGAAGGAUA